rnacentral:rRNA from 1 species
UACGAAGGGGGCUAGCGUUGCUCGGAAUUACUGGGCGUAAAGCGCACGUAGGCGGCUCUUUAAGUCGGGGGUGAAAUCCUGGAGCUCAACUCCAGAACUGCCUUCGAUACUGGAGAGCUCGAGUCCGGGAGAGGUGAGUGGAACUGCGAGUGUAGAGGUGAAAUUCGUAGAUAUUGGGAAGAACACCGGUGGCGAAGGCGGCUCUCUGGACCACAACUGACGCUGAGGCGCGAAAGCGUGGGGAGCAAACAGG